UUUUUUUUUCUGAACAGGUGCAGAUUUCAUAACAAUUUUGGAGAGUGAUGCUUCUAAGCCCUAUAUGGGGAACAAUGACUUAACCAUGUGGUUAGGGGAGAAGCUGGGUUUCUAUACAGACUUUGGUCCAAGCACAAGGUAUCACACUUGGGGGAUUAUGGCUUUGUCAAGAUACCCAAUUGUGAAAUCGGAGCAUCACCUUCUUCCGUCACCAGAGGGCGAGAUCGCACCAGCCAUCACAUUGACCGUUAACAUUUCGGGCAAGCCAGUGGAUUUUGUCGUGACACACUUUGGGAACCACGAAGAUGACCUCGACAGGAAACUGCAGGCUAUUGCUGUUUCAAAACUACUGAAAAGUAGCUCGAAUCAAGUGAUAUUUCUGGGAUAUAUCACUUCAGCACCUGGCUCCAGAGAUUAUCUACAGCUCACUGAACAUGGCAAUGUGAAGGAUAUCGACAGCACUGAUCAUGACAGAUGGUGUGAAUACAUUAUGUAUCGAGGACUGAUCAGGUGAGCACAGGGGUUUGAUUUUGUUUUUAAUCUAUUAUUGCUGCAAUCUUUUGGGUCUAUCUG
rnacentral:lncRNA from 1 species